rnacentral:rRNA from 1 species
GAUCCCAUCAGAACUCCGAAGUUAAGCGUGCUUGGGCGAGAGUAGUACUAGGAUGGGUGACCUCCUGGGAAGUCCUUGUGUUGCACCCC